rnacentral:lncRNA from 1 species
CGGGCAGGAGGCGCUUCUUGAGGAGUCCUUGCAGCACAGAGCGGACGGAGGGCCGGUGUACCAGCUGCAGCACGAAGAGGUGGGACUGCGGGGAGAGAGGAGACACUCAGUUCCUGUGCACUGUCCCCACACCCCGCCCUGCCUGCAGCCUCAGCAGCCCUAGACUGCUCCCAGGAUCCCACAGCCGGCCCAGGAGGCUCCCCCAGCAGCAGGCCGUGACGGUGAUCUGGAUGGUGUUGCGGCCCGGCUGGCACACGUGCUUCAGGUGCAGGGGCUUGUGGGAGGUCUUGUUGUCGCCGCGCUCAAUGGUGAGGGGCGUGGCGUUCACGCUGACCUGCACCGAGGCGGGCCAGUUGGUGUUCAUCUGCCGGUCCUCGUGGUGGUA